GAUUCGACGUGGAUCGUGAAGACAGCGACGCGUGUCCAGGGCCGACACCUGGUAAAAAGCCGGAAAUCUUUACCUGCCAAUACUGAACUGGCACUCGCUGCGUAAGAUUUGAGCCUCACGGCUCGUCCCGCAGCACCGAUUGCGGCAGCCCGCCCGGGGCGGCACAAUCGGAUCGCAAAUCUGGGCUGGCCGAUUGCGGUGCUCCACUGCAACUGGUGAGACUUUCGGAGAUAGAUCCUCGGCAGCUUGCUCCGGUAGCGGCUUGGGAUGACGGCGAGAAACCAGGGCUACACACGUAGGGGAGCUGUGGGAUCGGUUUGCGGACGCGGGGGCAGAACCCGCCACCUCCACUC
rnacentral:tmRNA from 1 species